ensembl:lncRNA
AGAGCAUUUUGCUCACUGCUGGUUAAAGGAUGGAACUGUUCUACCUUUGCAUGUCCCCCAGGAAAGGGGAGGGCUGGAUUAAUGCUCAGGCAUUGCAACCUCAUGACCCCAUCCCCUUGCUGGGAGUGAGGUGAUCUGCUCUGAAUUUAAACUGGCUCAGAGGUACACACUUGUUAUUUAAUGCCCUUCUUGGUACUUAGCAGAAAAGGCGGACAGCCUCUUAUUUAAUGAGUAUAUGGGAACUGCUGAGUCACAGCCUGAACCACUGAUUGAGCACCUGGGGAAAGGACCCGGUCAGCCCUGGGAGCACAGGUGAAGGCAAUUCAUGUGUUGACUGGAAGGGGUGGAACCUGCCUGCACCUCUCUUGGUCCCCAUUUAAGGGCUGACUGCCACCUUCCUUCCUUGGUGAAACUUCCCCUUGUGAAUCUAGGAUUUUCUGAUAUGGUACUCCUCUUCUUCAGUCUGUUUAGAGUUCUUGUUCAAGAGUGGAAGACUGUUUAAUUUUGAAAUGCAUGAGAAAAAGGCCUCAAAGAUGUACUGUGGGUUGCAUUCCUCCCCUGGAACUCAGAGACGUGACUGAUGACAAUGAAUGGGACUUCCCAUUGUGACCUUCUGUCUCUCUGGCUUUGGAUACAAGGGGUAAGGAUGCCAGCAGUGAUGGAAACUGAGCCAGCAGGUCUCACUGCCCACACUGACAGCAGCACCAUAAUAGGCUGAUACUAACAGGGACCAGCGACCCUCUUUCGUACAGAUGAACAGUCUCCAUUUUAAUCCUUAAAGUGCGUGGAUGAACCUCUAUUGUUACCAAGAACAGAAAACUUGAAAUCAUCCAGAACUCCUUAUGAUCACCACAGCUGAAACAACUGCAGACAGCAAUGCUGAACUGUCAAGCCAUAUUAUAGAAAAAAGCAAAGAUGAUACUUCUUGGUAAACAGAGGUUGUGUCUGGCCUGCUGCUGGCCCGUUCACUGAGGAUACGCUCUCUAUUUAGAAGAGAGGUUAAGCUAGCAGGAGACCAUUUGUGUUUCAUGGUGAUCUAUCCAGGGCUGUUUUCUGGAGGUGUGAGCUGAGGCAUCCCUGCUGCAGCCCUGACCGCAGGUGUGAGCUGAGGGCAAAGACACUUUCCAGAGUGCAGGUUUUAUGUCUUUGGACAAAUCAAAAUUAGUAGCUACCAGCCGUGACAGUUGUCAACACUUGUGCCUUCCUUGACAGUGAAAAUCAAACAAACCAAUCCCUGUGAGUUCUUCUCUGAUAUGUUUGUAUUAAGCAAGUUUGAAACAAAAACAACAAUAAAACAGUGGUUAUUUGCCAUUGGGGUUAAUGAGCCCUACACUGUGGUAAGGCAGUGCAAUCAGGACAGGUAGCAGUGGCCCCCAGCAUCGGACUGCCCAGCCAAGUGCCACAGCGAUCUCUUAGCUGAUGCCUCUUCUGGCCAUGGGGACCAUCUCUGCUGUGGUUGAAGAUGAGAACACAGCUCAGAGUUCUGCAAAGUGUCAAAGCCAUGCUGAGUCCAGAAUAAGGAGACCAGAGGCAGAUAUGCAGCAUGUUUGCAGGACAUGGGUGCAGGAUAAGGCGGCUUCUGUAAGCUCCUGCAGGAAACCUGAGCCUUGGGAAAAGAUUAUCCAGCCUUCAAAGUCUUAUUGCUCUCUCCGAGAUCCUAUGGUAUGAUACAUUCUCAUAGGAUGAGUAGGACAGUAGUACGUGUGCUUUUUCAGCUUUUUAGCUCUUCUCACAGAGACAAGAAACACCUAGAGAGAUAACUCAUUAUAAAGUCUGAUACAGGUUAUGUUUAAUUAAUCUCCAAAUACAUCCAAAUGAAAGAUAACUGGGUCUGUCCCUCUAAGCAAUACAGGAUGUUAG